rnacentral:lncRNA from 1 species
UCCAAAACUCCACUAAAAAUCAAUGAACCAAAAUAGCAUUUACAAAGACUCUUUGAAAACCUAAGGAUUAAACUCUAAUCCAGUGUGGCACACAGCCUCAGCUGCUACGACACUAUCAAGUUAACCCUAACUCGAUAACACAAGGUUCCUAAUAUAAUUACUUCUAAUAAAGCUGAAAGGUACAAUUUGAAAACCUACUACAAUUGAACUAGAAAUAAACACUCAGAUGAAACUUGUUCUCUCUCUUAGUUCAUGUAGCUUCAGGUGUACACACUUGUAUCUUGCAUAUAUUGCUUGCAAAACAGACUUGCUUUAUUUGCUCUUAAAUAUGCUUUUCUUCUGCUCGAGUGUGGUUCCUGUAAAAGAGAACCAACACAAUAAUAUAUUGAGUUAGUAGUUAUAGUUUGAUUACAACUCCACUUCUUAUCCGUAGUCCAUUUAAGUCCUUAGCCAAUACAAACUCUAACUCUUAUCUUAACUUAGGAUCAAGUUCUCUUCACAUAAGGUGAUUGUCCUCCUUAUCCCAAAUGCAACCUUUUUUAUUAUGUUCAGAAGAUAUUGACGCGUGAUCUUUAGUGCAUAUCAUCCUCACGAGCUUCACAUGUGCACUGGUUGAUUCAGACUUUGUAAUACAAGAUGGACCAGGUCCUUCCAUAAGUUCAUUUGUCAAUCUUCAAAACUCCAACUGAAAUGUGGUUAAACAACUAUGCAUUCAAAUUAAUGACAAGAUUUGCGAGGGCCAUGAAAAUUUUAUCUAAUGGCACACCUCGAUUUAUAAAGAGUUAUAAUUAAUUAAGUGAGAGCCAUGGGUUUUGGGGUUUUAUUUGGCAUGGCACGCCUCAAAUUGUUCAAUUAACAGGGUUUUUAGAUUUGGUAUUGAGGGCCAUAAAUUGUACGCUUGGCUAAUAUAGCACAACUCUAACUGAUUUAAAGAGUCAAACUAAUUAUAGAUGGCGCAAAGGAAUUAUAAUUAUUUAGACUAAUGGUUAGACCAAUUUAACAACUAACGUGCACCACGUUAAAAUAAUCGAUUAUUCAAAACAAGUUUUCUCCACCAACAACAACUAAACGAGGAGUUGGGCUCGAAAAAAGAGGCCCAAAUAACAUAGGGUAUACAAUUUUCAUUUACCAGUGAUCUCAAAUUUUGGGCCCAAUGUGAACCCCAAUUUUGUGGAACGAGUGGACAUCAAAAAGUCUGGACUCGAGAUCGAGUCCCCAUGAAGCAAAUAAACCUGGUCACCAAGAGCUUUGGGCUCUAAACAAUCUUUCUGUAACCCAAAUCAGAUUAGACUUAAAGAAUUUCAAUAGAGUAAGAAUGAAGCACAUUAACUCAUCCAGGUAAAAAAAUGCAGGAAAUAGAGAUGCCAUUGGUUUGAGCAUUAAAACUACUGUCAUGAUUUCCAUACGUAGUGAGCUUGACAAUAGAUACCCUAAGCAUCAUAUUUCAUAAUGACCCAAUAGUAUUUGCGCUUAUUAAUCUUUAAAUAACAAAAUUCCAAACCAAAUCAAAUCAUUUGUGAAAGUUAAUUUGAACAUAAAUAUCACUGACGUUGCAACAACUCGUUCAAAAUCCCAAAAUAGUUCCAUCUAUCCCAUACUAAACCCAUAGUAAUAGUACUAAAUACCUAACGACCUUUGACAGAAAGAAUUCAAGCAUGCUAAAACCAUAAUAACAGAAGUCCAAAUACAAACUUAAUUCAAAUCAAAAUGGUUCAUGGCAUGAAUAAAUACAAGAGGUGAUGUAUUGAAAGAAAAAUUUAACAUGGAAUAUGGAUGAAUCUUCAAUAAUACAGCUUGACAUUCAAUUAAAACUCAAGUUUACAACUUCGACAUGCUUCAAACUCAAUAUCUGCAUAUUGAUAAAGUCCCAAAAUGUACCUGGUUUCAGCAAAUAAACAAGGAAAACAACCUGAGGUUAAGAAGAAAAGCAGCAACAGUAGCUCAACAAAAGGGAAUGCAAAAGUAGUAACUUCAAAAAAACCACGCAGCAACAAAAUCAACAGACCAUCCUUAAAGUCUUGACCCAACUCCAAACAUUUCAACUCAAAUUCACUAUUCUUUUGGGCUUUUAGAAAUUCUGACUUAUCAAAGAAAAGUUUCAGUACUUUGAACUUGAAAGAAAACUCUGCCAUUUUUUAAAGUUUUAGUGUUUUUUUA